GAUGAACGCUGGCGGCGUGCCUAAUACAUGCAAGUCGAGCGAACGGACGAGAAGCUUGCUUCUCUGAUGUUAGCGGCGGACGGGUGAGUAACACGUGGAUAACCUACCUAUAAGACUGGGAUAACUUCGGGAAACCGGAGCUAAUACCGGAUAAUAUUUUGAACCGCAUGGUUCAAAAGUGAAAGACGGUCUUGCUGUCACUUAUAGAUGGAUCCGCGCUGCAUUAGCUAGUUGGUAAGGUAACGGCUUACCAAGGCAACGAUGCAUAGCCGACCUGAGAGGGUGAUCGGCCACACUGGAACUGAGACACGGUCCAGGCGCCUACGGGAGGCAGCAGUAGGGAAUCUUCCGCAAUGGGCGAAAGCCUGACGGAGCAACGCCGCGUGAGUGAUGAAGGUCUUCGGAUCGUAAAACUCUGUUAUUAGGGAAGAACAUAUGUGUAAGUAACUGUGCACAUCGUGACGGUACCUAAUCAGAAAGCCACGGCUAACUACGUG
rnacentral:rRNA from 1 species